rnacentral:rRNA from 1 species
UACGAAGGGGGCUAGCGUUGCUCGGAAUCACUGGGCGUAAAGCGCACGUAGGCGGAUUGCUAAGUCAGGGGUGAAAUCCUGGAGCUCAACUCCAGAACUGCCUUCGAUACUGGCGAUCUUGAGUCCGGAAGAGGUGAGUGGAACUCCUAGUGUAGAGGUGGAAUUCGUAGAUAUUAGGAAGAACACCAGUGGCGAAGGCGGCUCACUGGUCCGGUACUGACGCUGAGGUG